GCAAGGGUCACGUGCUUACCUUCUUCCUCGCGUGUGAAUUAGAUGAAAAAAUUGGAACCUCCAUAUAAGGGCACAAAACCCUGCAGAUGAAAGUCAAGAUCCUCGUAUAAUUUUCUUCUGAUUGAAAAUUGCAAAAAAUCUAAUCUGUCACAGAAAUCCUUAAGACUCAACCAUGGCUACCCAAUUGAGCCAGAAAAAGACAGCUUGUGUGAUCGGUGGCACUGGUUUUGUUGCUUCAUUGCUGGUGAAGUUGUUGCUUGAGAAGGGUUAUGCUGUGAAUACUACAGUCAGGGACCCAGGUAAUCAGAAGAAGACCUCUCAUCUCCUAGCACUGAAAAAAUUGGGGGAGCUAAACAUAUUUGGAGCUGAUUUGACCAAUGAAGAAAGUUUUGAUGCUGCCGUAGCAGGUUGUGACUUUGUCUUCCAUGUUGCAACCCCUGUGAAUUUUGCUUCUCAAGAUCCAGAGAAUGACAUGAUCAAGCCAGCAGUCCAAGGAGUUCAUAAUGUUUUGAAAGCUUGUGCGAAAGCGAAAACAGUGAAAAGGGUCAUCCUGACAUCCUCUGCUGCUGCUGUAACAAUAAAUAAGCUCAGUGGUACAGGUUUAGUCAUGGAUGAGAAAAACUGGACUGAUACCGAGUUCUUGACUUCUGAGAAGCCACCCACUUGGGGGUACCCUCUUUCCAAGACUUUAGCUGAGAAGGCAGCUUGGAAGUUUGCUCAAGAAAAUAACAUUGAUCUCAUUUCUGUUAUCCCUACACUCAUGACUGGUCCUUCUCUGACAUUGGAUAUUCCCAGCAGUGUAAACCUGGCCACAUCACUGAUCACAGGUGUUAAUUCAACCAGAAUUCUAAAAUAUGUGCCAUUUAAUGAGGAAUCCUAACUUCAAGUAUUACCUCUGAACAAACCCAUGGAAGAUAUACAUGUAGGGUUGCCAUUUUGGACAGUCCACUGAGUUGAAUUAUAUGUAUCGACAAUUUGCAGGAAAUGAGUUCCUCAUAAAUGCUUUGAAAGGCAUGCAAAUGCUGUCAGGCUCAGUAUCAAUAACGCAUGUGGAGGAUGUCUGUCGCGCCCAUAUAUUUUUAGCUGAGAAAGAAUCAUCUUCUGGUCGAUAUAUAUGUUCCUGCGUGAAUACCAGUGUUCCUGAGCUUGCCAAAUUCCUCAAGGACAGAUAUCCUCAGUACGAAGUCCCAACUGAGUUUGGAGAUUUCCCUUCCAAGGCCAAGUUAAUCAUCUCAUCAGAGAAGCUAAUCAGUGAGGGGUUCAGUUUCAAGUAUGGGAUUGAAGAGAUCUAUGACCAAACUGUGGAGUAUCUGAAGGCCAAAGGGACGCUGAAUUGAAGUGUUUGUGUUUGUGUUCAUGUAUCAAUCCUCAGUGACAGCACAGCCAUUUUAACCUUUACAUACGUUGCUGUUGUACUAUAAAUGCUCUGUUGAAAAAAUAAUUUGCAAUUUCCUAUAUAUGUCUAGUUUAUUUGUAUUUUUGUUUUUUCUUGGUGAUUAAAUAUUAUUAAUGUAAUAGUUCAAAGUAUGUGUCUUUUUUGGUUUCUUGGAUGGUUCAUGAAUGGAUAUUAAUUUAGGUUUAUGUAAUUAGAACUUGAGGGGUUGCCUAAACUCCUAUAUAUAUUCCUUGUACUUGAAAAUUAAUAUGUGUGUAAUACAUAAUAGUGUUUUCUCUCCUCUUUCUUUUCCA
rnacentral:misc_RNA from 1 species